GAUGAACGCUGGCGGCGUGCCUAAUACAUGCAAGUCGAGCGAACGGACGAGAAGCUUGCUUCUCUGAUGUUAGCGGCGGACGGGUGAGUAACACGUGGAUAACCUACCUAUAAGACUGGGAUAACUUCGGGAAACCGGAGCUAAUACCGGAUAAUAUUUUGAACCGCAUGGUUCAAAAGUGAAAGACGGACUUGCUGUCACUUAUAGAUGGAUCCGCGCUGCAUUAGCUAGUUGGUAAGGUAACGGCUUACCAAGGCAACGAUGCAUAGCCGACCUGAGAGGGUGAUCGGCCACACUGGAACUGAGACACGGUCCAGACUCCUACGGGAGGCAGCAGUAGGGAAUCUUCCGCAAUGGGCGAAAGCCUGACGGAGCAACGCCGCGUGAGUGAUGAAGGUCUUCGGAUCGUAAAACUCUGUUAUUAGGGAAGAACAUAUGUGUAAGUAACUGUGCACAUCUUGACGGUACCUAAUCAGAAAGCCACGGCUAACUACGUGCCAGCAGCCGCGGUAAUACGUAGGUGGCAAGCGUUAUCCGGAAUUAUUGGGCGUAAAGCGCGCGUAGGCGGUUUUUUAAGUCUGAUGUGAAAGCCCACGGCUCAACCGUGGAGGGUCAUUGGAAACUGGAAAACUUGAGUGCAGAAGAGGAAAGUGGAAUUCCAUGUGUAGCGGUGAAAUGCGCAGAGAUAUGGAGGAACACCAGUGGCGAAGGCGACUUUCUGGUCUGUAACUGACGCUGAUGUGCGAAAGCGUGGGGAUCAAACAGGAUUAGAUACCCUGGUAGUCCACGCCGUAAACGAUGAGUGCUAAGUGUUAGGGGGUUUCCGCCCCUUAGUGCUGCAGCUAACGCAUUAAGCACUCCGCCUGGGGAGUACGACCGCAAGGUUGAAACUCAAAGGAAUUGACGGGGACCCGCACAAGCGGUGGAGCAUGUGGUUUAAUUCGAAGCAACGCGAAGAACCUUACCAAAUCUUGACAUCCUUUGACAACUCUAGAGAUAGAGCUUUCCCCUUCGGGGGACAAAGUGACAGGUGGUGCAUGGUUGUCGUCAGCUCGUGUCGUGAGAUGUUGGGUUAAGUCCCGCAACGAGCGCAACCCUUAAGCUUAGUUGCCAUCAUUAAGUUGGGCACUCUAAGUUGACUGCCGGUGACAAACCGGAGGAAGGUGGGGAUGACGUCAAAUCAUCAUGCCCCUUAUGAUUUGGGCUACACACGUGCUACAAUGGACAAUACAAAGGGCAGCGAAACCGCGAGGUCAAGCAAAUCCCAUAAAGUUGUUCUCAGUUCGGAUUGUAGUCUGCAACUCGACUACAUGAAGCUGGAAUCGCUAGUAAUCGUAGAUCAGCAUGCUACGGUGAAUACGUUCCCGGGUCU
rnacentral:rRNA from 1 species